AAGUCGUAACAAGGUUUCCGUAGGUGAACCUGCGGAAGGAUCAUUACCGAGUUAGGGUCCUCUGGGCCCGAUCUCCCAACCCUUUGUUUAUUAUACCUUUUGUUGCUUCGGCGAGCCCGUUGUCUCACGACGACCGCCGGAGGACCGCUUAACGGCGUCCUCUGGUCCGCGCCCGCCGAUGGCCCCAAAAUCUCAAAAUUCUUGUAUGAAUCGUGUCUUUACCUAAGUCUUGAUUUAAUCAAAAACAAAACUUUCAACAACGGAUCUCUUGGUUCUG
rnacentral:misc_RNA from 1 species